rnacentral:rRNA from 1 species
ACGAACGCUGGCGGCGUGCUUAACACAUGCAAGUCGAGCGGUAAGGCCCCUUCGGGGGUACACGAGCGGCGAACGGGUGAGUAACACGUGAGCAAUCUGCCCAUCACAUCGGGAUAACUCCGGGAAACCGAAGCUAAUACCGAAUACGACCACUUCAGGCAUCUGACGGUGGUGGAAAGUUCCGGCGGUGAUGGAUGAGCUCGCGGCCUAUCAGCUAGUUGGUGGGGUAAUGGCCUACCAAGGCUUCGACGGGUAGCCGGCCUGAGAGGGUGACCGGCCACACUGGGACUGAGACACGGCCCAGACUCCUACGGGAGGCAGCAGUGGGGAAUAUUGGACAAUGGGCGAAAGCCUGAUCCAGCAACGCCGCGUGAGGGAUGACGGCCUUCGGGUUGUAAACCUCUUUCAGCAGGGACGAAGCGAAAGUGACGGUACCUGCAGAAGAAGCACCGGCCAACUACGU